CUUUCAGUGCUUCUGCUCUUGAAACAUCAUGUGAAUAAUGUCAAACUAGCCUACAGGUGUGGGUAAAAGACUAGAUGGAAGAGAAUCAAGAUGCCCUGACUCGUAGCCUUGCCUGGACAGUCAGGCCACCGUAUAUCAUUCAACCACCAGCGAUUUACCAGCUGAACAUGAAUACAUGAGACAGCACAGCCCAUCACCCAGGAUGGGUCAGGUCAGAAGCACACAGUCAAUCAACAGAAUACUAAAGUAAAUGAAAGCUGCCGAGUCCCACCAUAGAAUGAGCCUCUUGAGGAAACUUCUGGUGCUGUGCUUUCCAUCAUCAAGCAGAAAAUGAAAGGUGUUCAUCUUUACAAAGCCACUUCUCAGCACCAAUUCUACUUCUGCCUCAGCAGGGCAGCCUCUCAUCAGCUGGAAGUCUGUCUCCUUUCAUAUUCUCUUGAGGAAAUCCAAUGCAUGACGCUGGUAUAAGCAAAGGAUAUAAGGAAUACGAGCAAACAGCUAUUAAUAAGUGUCAAAUAGAGUUUUCUCUGAAUUUAGUCACUGAAUUUAGACUCUAAUUUAGACUCAGUCAUAAGACUGAGCAUUGAUACUCUGGUUUUGAAAAUUAUCCCACCUUCCUUCUCUGGCCUCAGGCCAGAAUUAAUGGUCUGAAGAGAGCAAGAGCAUUAGGAAAGAACCCAGCUCCAGAAUGCUGGUGUUGGUCUCUACUUUUGCCAGCAGUGGGCCUACCACACCUGUUAUUAAAAGAGGUGCUGAGGCAGCAGGGCAAGCCGCAACAGAGACAACAUCAGCAGGAAAACCCCAAUUGUCAGGAAGAGCAUAUAAUUAUCUCUGCUUUCUAGAGCACAAUUUCUUAACCAUGGAUUGCUGAAAAAUAAACAUGCUGGGCUCCACUCUGUCCAAGGUACUGAUUUGGUAGGUCUGAGUGUUUAGGCAUCUAUAAUUUAUAAACACACAAACAAAUAAAUGUUUCACAUGAA